AGGGACUCCCACCACUGCAGCUCAUGGAGUGGGUUCUGCUGGUCUCAUGUCAGCUCGUCAGCUCGGUCGGUUCAGAGGUGGGCAGGUGACUGACGGGAGCUCAGACAGAGCCCAGUGAAGGACCGUGCUCUGUAGUUGGGGGACGAAUAGCUGUCUUCCGCUUCUCCACCCUGCUCCCCCUUCCUUCCUUCUUUCUCACGUCGGGGUGAAUGAAGCAGCACGCAGCCCCCAGAGCUGCCAGUGGCCUUGGCACACGAGGACGGCUCGGCCGAAGAGGAGGCUGUAAGAGAAGUGUGGAGACUCAGGCGGGACACACCCCGGGGGCCAGCCCACCGGAAGCUCACAGACUGCUAGAGCUUCCAGUUUCGAGUCCCAUAGAUUUCCCUUCUGUUUAAGACCGUUUGAGUUGGGUUUCCCAAUUGUUUUCUUUUUCUCAGCAUGAAACCGCCCAAGUGACACAGAUGGGAACCAGGUUUGUGGCUGGGUCAGUAGCCGGUGGCCAGCAGAUCAGGGAGGUGGAAAAGUAGAUAAUGCUAUUGCCAUGAGAACCGAGAAUCUUUCCAGAUUGUCAGGUGACGGAAGCCCGGAUCCGGGGGCGGAGCUGGAUCCAGGGGCCCCAGGCGUGGCCAAUUUUCAGCAGACUCACAUCAGGUUGGUCCUUGGAAGCUGAACACAACCUGCCUUACUUGUUGCCAGUGCUGUGGCAUCUGCCCAGAGGUGACAUAAAGGCCUGGCAUGGCUUCUGACAUCCUAUUCCUACGGUUGCCAGUUAAAAUACAGGGCACCCAGCUAAAUUUUAAGCUGGGAGAAACAGCAAAUACAUUUUUAGUAUAUCCUAAAUAUUGCAUAGUAUGUACUUAUGCCGAAAAUUAUGCAUUAUCUGAAAUUCAAAUUCAGCUGGGCCUUCUGCAUGUUUCUUUGCUACACUGGCGGCCCUCUCUUUCCAUCGCCUGGUGGACUUUGCAGAAGGACGGAGUUGCCAGUUCUUUACACGUGAUUCUUGCUUGUGGAAUGGGGAGCUCUCAGCCCAGGACUUUGGAGCUCAGGGCCUGUGGGUCAGCCUGGUCACCUGACCACACUGGCCAGCCCCUGGGUUCUGGUUUGGUCACCAGAGCAGGAACAGAACCCGGGACCGACAGGAAGGGACGAGCAUCCUCUAGUCCUCUCGCCUUGCGUUUUGCAGUAAGACGUGUCCUCAGAAGCCCUGAUAGACGCUCUCCUGUGUGGGCCCCAGCCUCUGCACCAGCCCGGUGGCUCCGGGAGGCUGGACCCCUGCUGGGUUGCUCAGGCUUCCGCUGCGUCAUCCCAGCAGUGACUCUGAGCGCUGCUACUUAUGAGGGUUAACCUUAAGUUAUUCUGAGGGGGACAGCAGCCUGUCACUCAGACCUGGGUGGGUGUCCGGAGACCAGAGCUCUGCCUACAGAGUGGUCUGUGCCUGCCCUGACGGAGUGACCGGGUGACUGAGGCCCAGGCCUGAACCCCAGGAGCUCACCUAGAGGAGAGAUGGGCAUCGCUCAGCUGGCCAGUGCCGUCCAGCAAGAGCUGAGGGUGGCAUUGCUCACUCUGCCUGUGCUGCCUGGUGGGCAUCGCAGGCCCCACCGCAGAACCAAGGGGGUCAUUCCCUCCGCAGCUGGGAGGGUUGCCCUUGGCUGAAGGGAUCUGCCUGGCCCAAGGCCAUGCCCUUUUCCAAGGGCAGCCUGAAGCCCCUCAGCUCAUGGCAGGACACCUCUGCAGGCCCAUGGCCACUCCAGAGUUCCAGCUGCCCUGAUUCCCUGCCUGGCUCCUGCUUACCUGGUGCCAUCUCAUUCACUCCUGGGGAACUCACCACAACAGUGUGAUGCACAGUCUCCACAGAAGGGAUAUUUAAGUUGGGUUCUGAUGACUAUGUAAGAGUUUUCUUGGAAGGAAAGGAGAGGGGCAACAGCAGAGGGAACAGUGUGAACAAAGGCAUGGCAUGCAGGUGCUCCUUGUUAGGGCAUUUGUGCUGCUUCCAUGUGGCUGCAGCUGGGGGCAGAGGAGGCCACUCUGGGCCUCGUCAUGUGGUCCUGGAUCUUUGGGUCAUUCUUGGAGCUGCCUGACCUGAGAAAGUUUUGCUCGAGGGUAACAAGUAUGCUGUUGAGAGAGAAGUUUGUUCCGCAGUCAUCAGCGAGACACACGUCCAGGGGCUGUUUAAGGUCCCCCUGCAGAGCAGCAGCAGCCGUGUGACCUGUGCACUGGCGUCGCGAGAACGGAGGCCCAGGUGUAGAUUUAGUCUGUGUCCACCCUACAUCGUCCUCCCCCUGCCCUGCUGAGAUUCCACCGUGCGCUACAGACUCCUCAGUUGGGUUUUAUAUCCAAGGGCUGUUGAGGGUAACCUUUCCUCCAGGGGCUUGGAGUUGGGACUCUGGGCAAUUCCUCGAAGAGGCUUGGACCCGAGGACAAGGAGGAGAAGGCACAGGGCAGGAUGGCUGGCUGCCCAGAGCCUGGUGCAGUCCCAGGAUGGGGACAUGGGGGCUGCUGACCACCGAGCAGAGGCGUCUCUCUGACCCGUCUUCCCCUUCACGUCUUUCUGUCCGAAGCCAGAUUCUCUGCUCCUAAGGAUUCAUGUGAUUAUGCUUUCCCACCCCUGGCCUGCCACAUGCAGGUGAUGCUGGCUGACUCCCAGGCUGCCGGAAGCUCUGAAAUCGUUGCUGAUUUAAAUGGUUGGAGAUGGCACUCCCGCCUCAAUCCCCAUUCUGCUCUGAGGACCCACUUAUCACCUUGUUAAUUAAGUGCCCUGGGUGGAUCUUCUCUUGGCGUCUACAGAGCACACUGCAGCCUUCCCUGCCCAGCACAGCUCGCGCUGGGCACCGACCAUGUGAGAGCAGCUCCUGUCCUUCUGUGCAUGGCUCGCAUUAUCCUCCGUGCAGCUGGUGGGUCCAAAUCCACUUUCUGAGGGAACUGCUGCCAAGUGCAGAGGAGCUGGAGAGAACUUCGACCAGCAGUUCUAGCCUUGAACAUGUGUGCAAAUCAGAUGCAGAUCUUGUUAGAAUGGAUUCGGAUUCAG
ensembl:lncRNA